rnacentral:rRNA from 1 species
AGUGAACGCUGGCGGUAGGCCUAACACAUGCAAGUCGAACGGCAGCACAGUAAUAGCUUGCUCUUACGGGUGGCGAGUGGCGGACGGGUGAGGAAUACAUCGGAAUCUACUUUUUCGUGGGGGAUAACGUAGGGAAACUUACGCUAAUACCGCAUACGACCUACGGGUGAAAGCAGGGGAUCUUCGGACCUUGCGCGAUUGAAUGAGCCGAUGUCGGAUUAGCUAGUUGGCGGGGUAAAGGCCCACCAAGGCGACGAUCCGUAGCUGGUCUGAGAGGAUGAUCAGCCACACUGGAACUGAGACACGGUCCAGACUCCUACGGGAGGCAGCAGUGGGGAAUAUUGGACAAUGGGCGCAAGCCUGAUCAAGCCAUACCGCGUGGGUGAAGAAGGCCUUCGGGUUGUAAAGCCCUUUUGUUGGGAAAGAAAAGCAGCAGGUUAAUACCCCGCUGUUCUGACGGUACCCAAAGAAUAAGCACCGGCUAACUUCGUG